GAUGAACGCUAGCGGGAGGCCUAACACAUGCAAGCCGAGCGGUAUUGUUUCUUCGGAAAUGAGAGAGCGGCGUACGGGUGCGGAACACGUGUGCAACCUGCCUUUAUCUGGGGGAUAGCCUUUCGAAAGGAAGAUUAAUACUCCAUAACAUAUUGAUUGGCAUCAAUUAAUAUUGAAAGCUCCGGCGGAUAGAGAUGGGCACGCGCAAGAUUAGCUAGUUGGUGAGGUAACGGCUCACCAAGGCGAUGAUCUUUAGGGGGCCUGAGAGGGUGAUCCCCCACACUGGUACUGAGACACGGACCAGACUCCUACGGGAGGCAGCAGUGAGGAAUAUUGGUCAAUGGGUGCAAGCCUGAACCAGCCAUCCCGCGUGAAGGACGACUGCCCUAUGGGUUGUAAACUUCUUUUGUAUAGGGAUAAACCUACCCUCGUGAGGGUAGCUGAAGGUACUAUACGAAUAAGCACCGGCUAACUCCGUGCCAGCAGCCGCGGUAAUACGGAGGGUGCAAGCGUUAUCCGGAUUUAUUGGGUUUAAAGGGUCCGUAGGCGGACUUAUAAGUCAGUGGUGAAAGCCUGUCGCUUAACGAUAGAACUGCCAUUGAUACUGUAAGUCUUGAGUAUAUUUGAGGUAGCUGGAAUAAGUAGUGUAGCGGUGAAAUGCAUAGAUAUUACUUAGAACACCAAUUGCGAAGGCAGGUUACCAAGAUAUAACUGACGCUGAGGGACGAAAGCGUGGGGAGCGAACAGGAUUAGAUACCCUGGUAGUCCACGCCGUAAACGAUGCUAACUCGUUUUUGGGCUUUAGGGUUCAGAGACCAAGCGAAAGUGAUAAGUUAGCCACCUGGGGAGUACGCUCGCAAGAGUGAAACUCAAAGGAAUUGACAGGGGCCCGCACAAGCGGUGGAUUAUGUGGUUUAAUUCGAUGAUACGCGAGGAACCUUACCAAGACUUAAAUGGGAAUUGACAGCUUUAGAAAUAGAGCUUUCUUCGGACAAUUUUCAAGGUGCUGCAUGGUUGUCGUCAGCUCGUGCCGUGAGGUGUUAGGUUAAGUCCUGCAACGAGCGCAACCCCUGUCACUAGUUGCCAUCAUUCAGUUGGGGACUCUAGUGAGACUGCCUACGCAAGUAGAGAGGAAGGUGGGGAUGACGUCAAAUCAUCACGGCCCUUACGUCUUGGGCCACACACGUAAUACAAUGGCCGGUACAGAGGGCAGCUACACAGCGAUGUGAUGCAAAUCUCGAAAGCCGGUCUCAGUUCGGAUUGGAGUCUGCAACUCGACUCUAUGAAGCUGGAAUCGCUAGUAAUCGCGCAUCAGCCAUGGCGCGGUGAAUACGUUCCCGGGCCU
rnacentral:rRNA from 1 species